UACGAAGGGGGCUAGCGUUGCUCGGAAUUACUGGGCGUAAAGGGCGCGUAGGCGGAUGUUUAAGUCGGGGGUGAAAGCCCGGGGCUCAACCUCGGAAUUGCCUUCGAUACUGGACAUCUUGAGUACGGGAGAGGUGAGUGGAACUCCGAGUGUAGAGGUGAAAUUCGUAGAUAUUGGGAAGAACACCGGUGGCGAAGGCGGCGACCUGGUCCUUUACUGACGCUGAGGCGCGAAAGCGUGGGGAGCAAACAGG
rnacentral:rRNA from 1 species